rnacentral:rRNA from 1 species
UACGGAGGGUGCGAGCGUUGUCCGGAUUUAUUGGGUUUAAAGGGUGCGUAGGUGGCCUUAUAAGUCAGUGGUGAAAUACGGUUGCUUAACAAUCGAGGUGCCAUUGAUACUGUGAGGCUUGAAAUAAUUGGAGGCUGCCGGAAUGGAUGGUGUAGCGGUGAAAUGCAUAGAUAUCAUCCAGAACACCGAUUGCGAAGGCAGGUGGCUACGAUUGAUUUGACACUGAGGCACGAAAGCGUGGGGAUCAAACAGG